CAGUCUGACUUAAAAGGCAUUUUAAAGGCCUGGCCUAUGUAUCUUUGUGAAAUAUUUGUUUCUAGAAGGUUGUUGACCCAAGACUACUCUCAAGGCUAGUUGGUGAACUACUGUAAUAGGCAAUCUAACACUAACAUGCUAGCCAUCCAUGGACAUGCUAGCGCUAGUGAAUCACAGUAAUCCCCCCCUUUCUUCUACGUUCUGGCAUUUUGUUUCUGGGAUGGUACAUCACUUCAUUCAGUGAAGGCUUUUUGAAAAGCUUUUUAUAUGUUGCAGGCAAAUUCAUGCAGCAUCUGCAGGAACAGCGGUGCCACUACAACGUUAUUCUGGCUCACAGAGCGCGAUCAACUGGAACCACAGCUGCCGGACGCAAAAGAGUGUGACAGACCAAUAGAUGACACUGUCUGCACUCUAAAUGCACUGAGACUAUUGUUACUUCAGCAUAUUCAGACCCCAGUCUGUCUAAGAAGGAAAUGACAGAGGGAACGUAAAAGAGGUGUUGACCCUGAGGUUGAGAGACAGAGAGAGACUUUGGGAAGGAGGGACCAGCAAUGGGUGAGCACAGAGGAGAAUGAAAAGAUUUAGGAAGGAAGUUUUGGAGCUCUCGGAGAGGAAAGUUACCAUGAUGACGACUUGCGUGUUGGU